rnacentral:misc_RNA from 1 species
GAUGAAGAACGCAGCGAAAUGCGAUAAGUAAUGUGAAUUGCAGAAUUCAGUGAAUCAUCGAAUCUUUGAACGCACAUUGCGCCCGCCAGUAUUCUGGCGGGCAUGCCUGUCUGAGCGUCAUUUCAACCCUCAGCCCCCGCUCGCGGGGCGCUGGCGUUGGGGAUCGGCCGUCCUCGCGGCGGCCGGCCCCGAAACACAGUGGCGGUCUCUAGCGGACUCCCCUGCGUAGUAGCACUACCUCGCAGAAGGGACGAGCGGGCUGACCACGCCGUAAAACCCCCCACUUCUCCAGGUUGACCUCAGAUCAGGUAGGAAUACCCGCUGAACUUAAGCAUAUCAAUAAGCGGAGGA